rnacentral:rRNA from 1 species
GACGAACGCUGGCGGCGUGCUUAACACAUGCAAGUCGAGCGGUAAGGCCCUUUCGGGGGUACGACGAGCGGCGAACGGGUGAGUAACACGUGGGUGACCUGCCCUCAGCUCUGGGAUAAGCCUGGGAAACUGGGUCUAAUACCGGAUAUGACUCCAUGGCGCAUGUUGUGGGGUGGAAAGCCUUGUGCGGCUGAGGAUGGGCCCGCGGCCUAUCAGCUUGUUGGUGGGGGGAUGGCCUACC